rnacentral:rRNA from 1 species
UACGGAGGGGGCUAGCGUUGUUCGGAAUUACUGGGCGUAAAGCGCACGUAGGCGGCUUUGUAAGUUAGAGGUGAAAGCCCGGGGCUCAACUCCGGAAUUGCCUUUAAGACUGCAUCGCUAGAAUCGUGGAGAGGUGAGUGGAAUUCCGAGUGUAGAGGUGAAAUUCGUAGAUAUUCGGAAGAACACCAGUGGCGAAGGCGACUCACUGGACACGUAUUGACGCUGAGGAGCGAAAGCGUGGGGAGCAAACAGG